AACGAACGCUGGCGGCAUGCCUAACACAUGCAAGUCGAACGAGACCUUCGGGUCUAGUGGCGCACGGGUGCGUAACGCGUGGGAACCUGCCCUUAGGUUCGGAAUAACUCCCCGAAAGGGGUGCUAAUACCGGAUAAUGUCUUCGGACCAAAGAUUUAUCGCCUUUGGAUGGGCCCGCGUUGGAUUAGCUAGUUGGUAGGGUAAAAGCCUACCAAGGCGACGAUCCUUAGCUGGUCUGAGAGGAUGAUCAGCCACACUGGGACUGAGACACGGCCCAGACUCCUACGGGAGGCAGCAGUGGGGAAUAUUGGACAACGGGCGAAAGCCUGAUCCAGCAAGGCCGCGUGAGUGAUGAAGGCCUUAGGGUUGUAAAGCUCUUUUACCCGGGAUGAUAAUGACAGUACCGGGAGAAUAAGCUCCGGCUAACUCCGUG
rnacentral:rRNA from 1 species